GAUGAACGCGUAGCGGGAGGCUUAACACAUGCAAGUCGAGGGGCAGCAUAGGGUAGCAAUACUCUGAUGGCGACCGGCAAACGGGUGAGUAACGCGUAUGCAACCUACCCUGUACAGGGGGAUAACCCGGAGAAAUUCGGACUAAUAUCCCGUAAUAAUAUCCGGAGGCAUCUUUGGAUAUUUAAAGUUCCGACGGUACGGGAUGGGCAUGCGUAACAUUAACUGGUUGGUAAGGUAACGGCUUACCAAGGCUAUGAUGUUUAGGGGUCCUGAGAGGGUGGUCCCCCACACUGGUACUGAGACACGGACCAGACUCCUACGGGAGGCAGCAGUGAGGAAUAUUGGUCAAUGGGCGCAAGCCUGAACCAGCCAUCCCGCGUGCAGGAAGACGGCCCUAUGGGUUGUAAACUGCUUUUCCAGGGAGAGAAACUUACGCACGUGUUGCGUGACUGACGGUACCCUGGGAAUAAGCAUCGGCUAACUCCGUG
rnacentral:rRNA from 1 species